CCGGCCGCCAGCGGCGCUCGCGAAGUUCGGAUCCGCAAGGACCGGGCCAGCGGGACGUCCGCGUGGCAGGGUGCACUUUCUCCGCGGUCGAGUGCUACGACCGGUUUCGAGGCGGUCAGAAGCCCGGCGGAAAGGUAGCGCCGCCCUUCGGGGUGUCGUGUUAUAGGCCGCCGCGGUGGACUCGCCGCGAGACCGAGGACGCUUGCCGCGCCGAGCGGUCCCGGGCCGUCUUGGGAGGUUCGACCUCGGCUGCACUGCUCCGCAGAGCACCGUAACCGCCGCCCUAGCACGGGUCCGGAGACCGCCGGCGCCUCGGGUCAGUAGCG
rnacentral:rRNA from 1 species